rnacentral:rRNA from 1 species
AUGGUUAAGUUAGAAAGGGCGCACGGUGAAUGCCUUGGCACUAGGAGCCGAUGAAGGACGGGACUAACACCGAUAUGCUUCGGGGAGCUGUAAGUGAGCUUUGAUCCGGAGAUUUCCGAAUGGGGAAACCCACUGUUCGUAAUGGAACAGUAUCUUUAUCUGAAUACAUAGGAUAUUGAAGGCAGACCCGGGGAACUGAAACAUCUAAGUACCCGGAGGAAGAGAAAGCAAAUGCGAUUUCCUGAGUAGCGGCGAGCGAAACGGAAUUAGCCCAAACCAAGAGGCUUGCCUCUUGGGGUUGUAGGACACUCUAUACGGAGUUACAAAGGAACGAAGUAAAUGAAGCGACCUGGAAAGGUCCGUCGAAGAAGGUAACAACCCUGUAGUUGAAACUUCGUUCCCUCUUGAGUGGAUCCUGAGUACGGCGGAACACGUGAAAUUCCGUCGGAAGCUGGGAGGACCAUCUCCCAAGGCUAAAUACUACCUAGUGACCGAUAGUGAACCAGUACCGUGAGGGAAAGGUGAAAAGCACCCCGGAAGGGGAGUGAAAGAGAUCCUGAAACCGUGUGCCUACAAGUAGUCAGAGCCCGUUAAUGGGUGAUGGCGUGCCUUUGUAGAAUGAACCGGCGAGUUACGAUCCCAUGCAAGGUUAAGCUGAUAAGGCGGAGCCGUAGCGAAAGCGAGUCUGAAUAGGGCGUUUAGUAUGUGGUUGUAGACCCGAAACCAGGUGAUCUACCCAUGUCCAGGGUGAAGUUCAGGUAACACUGAAUGGAGGCCCGAACCCACGCACGUUGAAAAGUGCGGGGAUGAGGUGUGGGUAGCGGAGAAAUUCCAAUCGAACCUGGAGAUAGCUGGUUCUCUCCGAAAUAGCUUUAGGGCUAGCCUCAUGUUGUGAGAGUCUUGGAGGUAGAGCACUGAUUGGACUAGGGGCCCCCAACGGGUUACCGAAUUCAGUCAAACUCCGAAUGCCAAAGACUUAUCCAUGGGAGUCAGACUGCGAGUGAUAAGAUCCGUAGUCAAAAGGGAAACAGCCCAGACCACCAGCUAAGGUCCCCAAGUAUACGUUAAGUGGAAAAGGAUGUGGAGUUGCUUAGACAACCAGGAUGUUGGCUUAGAAGCAGCCACCAUUUAAAGAGUGCGUAAUAGCUCACUGGUCGAGUGACUCUGCGCCGAAAAUGUACCGGGGCUAAACGUAUCACCGAAGCUGUGGAUUGACAUCUUUGAUGUCAGUGGUAGGAGAGCGUUCUAAGUGCUGUGAAGUCAGACCGUAAGGACUGGUGGAGCGCUUAGAAGUGAGAAUGCCGGUAUGAGUAGCGAAAGACAAGUGAGAAUCUUGUCCACCGAAUGCCUAAGGUUUCCUGAGGAAGGCUCGUCCGCUCAGGGUUAGUCGGGACCUAAGCCGAGGCUGAAAAGCGUAGGCGAUGGCCAACAGGUUGAUAUUCCUGUACCACCUCCCCGCCGUUUGAGUAAUGGGGGGACGCAGUAGGAUAGGGUAAGCGCGCUGCUGGAUAUGCGCGUUCAAGCAGUUAGGCUGAUGAGUAGGCAAAUCCGCUCAUCAUAAAGGCUGAGCUGUGAUGACGAGGGAAUUAUAGUACCGAAGUUCCUGAUUCCACACUGCCAAGAAAAGCCUCUAGCGAGGCGGGAGGUGCCCGUACCGCAAACCGACACAGGUAGGCGAGGAGAGAAUCCUAAGGUGAUCGAGAGAACUCUCGUUAAGGAACUCGGCAAAAUGACCCCGUAACUUCGGGAGAAGGGGUGCUCUGGUAGGGUGUAUAGCCCGAGAGAGCCGCAGUGAAUAGGCCCAGGCGACUGUUUAGCAAAAACACAGGUCUCUGCGAAGCCGCAAGGCGAAGUAUAGGGGCUGACGCCUGCCCGGUGCUGGAAGGUUAAGAGGAGGGGUUAUCCUUUGGGAGAAGCUCUGAAUCGAAGCCCCAGUAAACGGCGGCCGUAACUAUAACGGUCCUAAGGUAGCGAAAUUCCUUGUCGGGUAAGUUCCGACCCGCACGAAAGGCGUAACGAUCUGGGCACUGUCUCAACGAGAGACUCGGUGAAAUUAUAGUACCUGUGAAGAUGCAGGUUACCCGCGACAGGACGGAAAGACCCCGUGGAGCUUUACUGUAGCCUGAUAUUGAAUUUUGGUACAGCUUGUACAGGAUAGGUAGGAGCCUGAGAAGCCGGAGCGCUAGCUUCGGUGGAGGCGUCGGUGGGAUACUACCCUGGCUGUAUUGAAAUUCUAACCCGCGGCCCUGAUCGGGCCGGGAGACAGUGUCAGGUAGGCAGUUUGACUGGGGCGGUCGCCUCCUAAAAUGUAACGGAGGCGCCCAAAGGUUCCCUCAGAAUGGUUGGAAAUCAUUCGUAGAGUGUAAAGGCACAAGGGAGCUUGACUGCGAGACCUACAAGUCGAGCAGGGACGAAAGUCGGGCUUAGUGAUCCGGUGGUUCCGCAUGGAAGGGCCAUCGCUCAACGGAUAAAAGCUACCCCGGGGAUAACAGGCUUAUCUCCCCCAAGAGUCCACAUCGACGGGGAGGUUUGGCACCUCGAUGUCGGCUCAUCGCAUCCUGGGGCUGUAGUCGGUCCCAAGGGUUGGGCUGUUCGCCCAUUAAAGCGGUACGCGAGCUGGGUUCAGAACGUCGUGAGACAGUUCGGUCCCUAUCCGUCGUGGGCGUAGGAAAUUUGAGAGGAGCUGUCCUUAGUACGAGAGGACCGGGAUGGACACACCGCUGGUGUACCAGUUGUCUUGCCAAAGGCAUCGCUGGGUAGCUAUGUGUGGACGGGAUAAGUGCUGAAAGCAUCUAAGCAUGAAGCCCCCCUCAAGAUGAGAUUUCCCAUAGCGCAAGCUAGUAAGAUCCCUGAAAGAUGAUCAGGUUGAUAGGUCAGAGGUGGAAGCGUGGCGACAUGUGUAGCUGACUGAUACUAAUCGAUCGAGGACUUAACCAAA